UUACGACCAUUAUCAAGUUGAAACACCGGUUCUCGUACGAUCACCGACGUUAAGCAACGUCGAGCAUAUUCAGUACCGAGAUGGGUGACUUCUUUCGAACACCAGGUGCUG